rnacentral:rRNA from 1 species
AUUGAACGCUGGCGGCAGGCCUAACACAUGCAAGUCGAGCGAGCGGCGGACGGGUGAGUAAUGUAUGGGGACUGCCCGAUAGAGGGGGAUAACUACUGGAAACGGUGGCUAAUACCGCCUACUGUCGGAUAACCCAUAGGGGAUUAGCUAGUAGGUAAGGUAAUGGCUUCCCUAGGCGACGAUCCCUAGCUGGGCUGAGAGUAUGAUCCGCCACACUGGAACUGAGACACGGCCCAGACGCCUACGGAGGCAGCAGUGGGGAAUAGUGCACAAUGGGCGGAAGCCUGAUGCAGCCAUGCCGCGUGUAUGAAGAAGGCCCUAGGGUUGUAAAGUACUUUCAGUCGGGAGGCGGUACCGACAGAAGAAGCACCGGCUAACUCCGUGCCAGCAGCCGCGGUAAUAC